UACGGAGGAUGCGAGCGUUAUCCGGAUUUAUUGGGUUUAAAGGGAGCGUAGACGGGUCCUUAAGUCAGUUGUGAAAGUUUGCGGCUCAACCGUAAAAUUGCAGUUGAUACUGGGGGCCUUGAGUGCGGCAGAGGCAGGCGGAAUUCGUGGUGUAGCGGUGAAAUGCUUAGAUAUCACGAAGAACUCCGAUUGCGAAGGCAGCUUGCUGGACCGUAACUGACGUUGAUGCUCGAAAGUGCGGGUAUCAAACAGG
rnacentral:rRNA from 1 species